UUCUUUUAAAAGGUCGGCGUAGGUUUUUCCCUCAUUAGCUGUGAGAAUUAUACCUUCUUGAGCCACUCGUUCAUGGUUGGCGGUUCUUCUGGAGGAUCUAUUCUUGGUUGGGUCUUCAGGAAUGUAUAUUGUGGCCUUCAAGUCUUUAAGAGAGUACUCUAAAGCCUUUCUGAUGUUUUCUCUUGAUUUAGGGUCGUCCACUAGGAUCGCCACAGCCAGUAGUUUGGAGGAGGCCUUCAUGGAAGCUUUGUUUAGAUUAGUCGCUGCUUCAAGAUAGCUAGGAGUUGACUCUUCUACAGUUGCCAAAAAUGUGGACCGCUUGUUCUGCCCGAGAUGUUCCUUUUCUAAGUCGUCUCCCUCUACCUGGAUUUCACUUUGGCACGAGAUAUGUACGACUUUCCCUGGCUUAAUUUUGUUCUCUUUAGCGAGGGCUAAGAGGUGUGGGACCCUGCUUGCAACUUUCCGGAAAACGCUUUUGUUUGUCAGGUCUUUUGUAUCCCCUAUUAUUACCAAGUCUGAGUCGGUACUCGAAGAGAAUAAGCUUCCACUCUUUGUACUAGUGGUCGUGUAUGCUUUUUCUGGCUAGGAACGAGAGAAUAAGUUCUCUAGUUCAGGCCCAGUAACUUGUUGGUCGAUAGCUUGUCUGAUUUCUUCCGUGUUUUGGUCUUCCCAUCUUCUGAUUAGGGCAAUAUCUCGUUGACAUGCACAAGAUGGUUCGUCUUCCGUUUGAGUGCCGAUGGUAACCAUAGAUGGUUCAGUCUGGGUUCCUGUUUCAUUGCUUUGGAGUGACUUUUCAGAUUUUAUAUCGUCCCCCACAUAGGUGUCCGUUUGGUUAUCUUUCAGCAGCUUACCAAGGUUAUCAACAGUUACCCGGUGAAGGAGCCCUUUUAAUACUGUUAUGGACUUCUUUAUUUCUCUCUUGGUGUUUGGGUUCUUUGAGACUUCACUUGUAAGCCUCUCCAUUUCUCGGUGCGUUGCCUCGACAGCUUUGCAUAAUUUCUUCCAUUCGUCGUUUGUUCCCGCUUGCUGAGCGGUGCUUUUAGGCGUGUCCUCGCGUUUUCUCUUGGGUUGCCUUUCAUCUGUAAUCUCUUCUGGAGAGCUAAAUACACUUACGGUGUCGUAUCCCAAGUUUCUUCCUUCUUCUUUCUUCGGGCUCUCUGUCUUCAAUGAUCUUUUUGGAGUUUUCGGUAGUUCCCCCUGUGUAGAUUUCGGGCUGCUCCAAGAUCCAGAAACAUCCAGCAGUAGAAACCUGUCUCCAGCGUCAAAGCUUUGUGAGCUAUUCCCAAUACCCAUAUAUGCUUCUCGUCCAGUGCUGGCUCUGCGACCGCUAACUUCCUCCGUCGUCGUUGUAGAGAUGUGGCUUCUUGAUAUUUUCUCGUACAGUGUUUGCCUGCUUCCUCGUUUGAAGUCAGUAGCUUUCGGUGACGCCUCGGCCUGACUCCUCACCGAAGGUGUCUGAACAGUCGUUGGCUGACCGUCGGGGAGAGCCUGUCCAACCACUCCCUCACCGACGGGUACUAGGGUAUCCCUCCCUUGCACCGUAAGUUUCUUCCUUGAUUCGUCGCUCAUGAUUGUCUUAUUUUGAUUAGAGAGAAUUUUAUAGAGGCUCUCUAAACCUCGCAGCCCCGAAACCGCGCGGCCCCCGUUUCCAGACCACGUCUGGAGUUACGGUGUGAUCUUGACUGGUUUUGGUCCGCCCCGGGUAUUUGAUUUCCCCGGUACCACCCAUAUCUGGGAGGCUUUCCCCUAUCCGCCACCUGGGGAGGCGCCCGAUGGAAGACCAGCCAAACUUCACACGGGUUGGGAGGGGACCUGACCUGACCUGACCUGACCUGACCUGACCUGACCUGACCUGACCUGACCUGACCUGACCUGACCUGACCUGACUUUUUUUUUUUUAACGAGGUUUUGGGGAAAGCUCAUAGCCUAACCCCCGGAUCUUUGAUGUUCCAGUGAUCCGGGGAGUGUAGGAUUCUAACCCACUAAAACCCCAUUUCCUCUGUUUAUUUCCGCAGUCGCCACCCGGGGUAUCGCCUUUCGGCAUUUCUUCCCAGAUAGUGCCUACUUUAGCCUUUGCCUAGUCUUCUAUUCUAUUUGUUUAUUUUUACUCCAUCUUUGUUUUUCUCUCUCAUAAUACUUCUAAUCAUAUUGAAUACAGCGUCACUUGUGUCUUCUUCUCCAGUUAAUAAAGUGCUUAUUGUUUCCUCGUUUAUUAUUCUACCGCAGCGUGUUUCGGCUUCUAGUCUAACAUUUUCCCAACGAACGCAUUGGAAGAUCGUGUGUCUUGCGUCAUCGGUUUCCCAGUCGCAAUACUGGCACCUAGCAUGGUCCUGUUUUUUUAUUCUUUGUAGAUACCUCCCGAAGGCCCCAUGGCCCGUGAGUGCCUGUGUCACGUGGUGGUCAACGCCUACUACCUUCCUAUUAAUCCACAGCUCUAUAUUUUUUAUGAAAACUUUUGUCCAUCCUUCGUAUGUAUUCCAACUUUCCUGCCAUUUUUGUAAAAGUUCUUUUUGAGCCUGCUCUUUUUCAUUUUUUUGGUAUAUUUUGCAGCGUUCUUGCACCUUCAAUUGUACCGGCGGCACUCCUGCGAUAACCAGUAGAGCCUUAGUUGGUGAAGUCCUAUAAGCCAUUGUAAUUCUAAGGGCCAUGCGUCUGGUAAUUCUUUCUAGUUUAGCUAGAUAAGCAUUAUAUUUAAGCACUUUUGACCAAGUAGGAACUGCGUAAUAGAUUAUUGAGGUUACCACUGAAGUCAGCACUUUUCUUUUUAACAAUGAUGGGCCUCCUAUGUUCGGGAGCACUCGAGACAGUUUUCCCAUAACUUUGUCCGCCUUUUUACUAACAUAGUUUACAUGCGCCUUCAUUGUAAUAUCUUUAUCCAAUACAAUGCCCAUAUAGUUAAGAUUAGGUUUUGUUGUGAUUUCCAGCUCCCCAAUUCUAACCGUCAGUUCUCGUAGUUUUCGUCGUCCACUCAUCAGGAUCAUUUCGGUCUUAUGUAAGCACAGUCUAAUACCCAUAUUCUGUAGCUUAUCUAUUAUAUUUCGAAUUGCAUAUUCCGCUUUAUCUCUUAGUCUAUCCACACAUACAUCUGUCACUACGACAGCAAGAUCGUCGGCAUAUGCAACGGUAUAAACUCCAUCUUCCAUGUCCAGGCGUAGAAUUUGAUCGUAGAAGAGGUUCCACAAGGUAGGUCCGAGGACCGAGCCCUGUGGAACACCACAGGUCAUACGUAUCUUUUUUCUUUCUGCGGUUUCUAUAUACCUGUCUGUUAGGUAGGAUUUUAUGAUGAUGUUAAGGUAUCUACUUACACCGCUGCGUUCCAGGGCCGCUAUUAUACCAUCCCACGGAGCUGAGUUAAACGCGUUUUCAAUGUCCAACGUAAGUAAUAAGUAUAAGUAUAAGUAUAAGUAUAAGUAAGCAGAAUUUUUUCCUCUUAUAAGAUAUUUUUUCCUCUAUGCUAUUAGGUGCCUCUAAAACCUUGGUAAUUGCAUCUAUUGUCGACUUGCCGCUUCUGAAGCCAUAUUGAUGUUCAUGCGGAAUACCGCGUUCUCGCAGUUCUUUUUCCAGCCUGCGUUUGAUAACUGUUUCUAAGAGUUUACCGGACACGUUUAGAAGACAUAUUGGUCUGUAUGUAGGACUAUCGCUUGGACACUUCUUGGGCUUCUCUAUAAGUACCAGCCUUGCUGACUUCCAGAUUUCCGGAAAUUCGCCACGAUUUAGGCAGGAAUUAAACACAACUGCGACCUCAUCUGGGCAUGUUUUAGCAGCUAACUUGACUACUUCCGGAAGAUUUCCUGCGUACUUAUUGGGACUGGCACAACUUCAGUACCAUCUAUUGACCACCGCCUAGUUGGGUGAUUGGGAAAAAGUUUUUGUACUUGACUUAUAAUUUGCUCAUCUUUUAGCGUUGUUUGAGGCCUAAGUCCUAGUCUGCCCAUAACUAUUUUGUAUGCCUUACCCCAGAUAUCACCUUCCAGCUUGUCACAAAGCUCCUUCCAGCAUUUGUCUUUUUGUUUCUUUAUUUGAGUUUUUAAAGCUCUUUUGGCCCCUAUGUAUUCUUUAUAAUCUUCUUCAGUGUGUUGUUGCUUUUUUCUUAGACGAAGAUAUCUUCUUCUAAGUUUCAUACAGCAGAUUCUUGUUUCAGAAAUCUCUUUCGUCCACCAGAAAACUGAACGGCGCCUUGACGUUUUCUGUCGCAUAGGUAAAUAUUUAUUACAAAACUCAGUAAUUUGCUGGAUCAUUUCGGUUGGUGUACAAGUUUCUUUUUUGAGCAUUGGAGUUAAGGUUGCCAUUGCCUCUACUGUGGCCCAGGAUUUAGGUGUUAUCUUCCAUCCACCGGUUUCAUAUAAUGUUUUUGGCAUGGAAAAUUCAGCACAUAUUGAAAAUUUGAUAGUUUGGUGGUCGGACAGGUUUUCCUGAGUAUCAACCCUCCAGUCCCGUAUCCUUCCCCCAACUUUUGUAGUCGCAAGCGUCACAUCGAUAACGGAGCUUCCACCGGGCCCAAUAAACGUAGCCUCGUCUCCUUUAUUUAGUACUAUAAGGUUGUUAGACUCUACAAACUCCUCUAGAAGGAUGCCCCUACGGUUAGUAACAGACGAUCCGAAGAUCGGCGAUUUUGCGUUUAGAUCCCCUGAGAUAAUCGUUUCUAGAUUACCUUCCCUUACUCGCUGCUCCAAGCUUUCCAGAAGCAGAAUAAAGUCUUCCUCGCUCCCAUUAGGAGAAAAGUAGGUAGACACAAUUCGUAGCGAUGGUAGAUCGGCCGCUAGAUAAUCUUUAUCACAGAUCAGGUUAUUAUAAGACACUUCAUUUCCCAUCACAAUAAAACUACCACAGUUCGUAUCACAGAUAAGUCUUUGAGCUUUUUUACUAUUAGGCUCCUGUCCAAGAAGGAUGUCUAUUCUUUCUUCUUGCAUUAUUUUGUUAGCCAAGUCGUGGGCAGCUGCGCACCGAUUCAUAUUAAGCUGCAUAAAUCUUAUUUGUUUGUUAGCCAUUUAGAAUAAUUGUUGUCUUUCGCCCCUCCUUGCUAAACUAAGUGCCUUCUUGAAAGCUUUGCAGCGGCCACCUCCGGUUUUAUGUCCUUGAACAGCACAAAUAGGGCAAUAUUCUUCAUUUUCACAGGUUUUGGAUGCGUGACCUUUUUGUCCGCAUUUAAAGCACAAAUCCUUUCUAUCUGUUCCAUCGCAUUGAGCUGCCUCAUGGUCAAAAGCCCAACAUUUAAAACACCUUUUCAAGUCUAUCCGUUUUUCUACGCUGCACUUUACUAAACCAACCCGCAGGUAACGCGAUUCUAUUAUUUUAUCUGAUGUUCUCUGGUCUACUGUAGCUGUUACUGCCAAGGUCCUGUCUCGAUUAGGGCGAGGGUCACCUAUUUUUAUAUAAGUCUCUUCAUUGGGCUCUAUUGCUUCUUUUAUUGCUGUUUCUAUCAGGCGUUCAUUAAAAAAAAAACUCGCAGCAUGCGUUGAAUUUUUUACGUAUUUCUUAGCUAGUGCCUAUGGUACAAAUUUGGCAUUGUAUUGUUGGUUGCCUAUUAAACCAGAACCUGACAUUUUUUCGUUCCCGCCAGUUUCUACCAAAACGAGCUUGGUUUUUGUGUGAUUUUCGUGGUUGUUGUUUCUGUUUUCCGAACAUAGACCGAAUAUACCGAAUAAACCGAAUAAAAAAACAGUAUUUUUCAAUACUAAAUUUCGUGUUUUCUUGAUUUGUAAUCAUGGUGUAUACCAGUGAACAAAAAGCCUUUUUGUUGGAAAGUUAUUUCCGAAAUGGAGAGAAAGUGAACGGUGUUUGGAAAUAUUCAAUUCAACCGUGCCUGGAGGAAUUUCGAGAAGCUUUUCCUGAGGUUAUCGUCUAUGAAGAAUUUAAAAACUCUUUUCACUGAAAUGUGAGCUUGUCUCGUGGAACUGCGUCCACCUCGCGUACAACAGAACAUUUUCAUGAAGCUGUGGAAGAACCUCUUCAUCCAGAAAAAUAGGUGUUUGGGCGGCUAUCAGCAAAAGAAGAAUUGUCGGUCCAAUUUUGUUUCAAGUUUUCAGGAACACUAACUGCAGUACGUUAUCGCGAAGAAAUUCUUACGCCUUUUAUCGAAGAACUUCACGAUGAAGAAUUACGAGAUGGUUUGUUUCAACAAGAUGGUGCAACAGCGCAGUGCACAGCAGAAACUUCAGACUUUCUGAGAACGUUUUUUGAUGACAGAAUAAUUAGCAGGAAUACAGCAAAUGAUUAUCCCCCAAGAUCAUGUGAUUUAACGCCUUGCGACUUUUAUCUUUGGCCACGCAUUAAAAAUUCAAUUUUUGUUACACCAAUUCCAACUAUUGAUGAAUUAAGACGACGCAUUCAACAGAAAUUAAUGAAAUUAACGAAAAUCCACUUGAACUGACUAAUGGGUUAAACAGUGUUCGAAGGCGUUGUGUUAUGUGUGUUGAGCAACAAGGAAGACAUUUCCAACAGUUUUUAUAGUUAAUAAAUAAAUAUUUUUACGAAAAUG